rnacentral:rRNA from 1 species
GCAGAGCACUCCUAGGGAGGCAGCAGUGGGGAAUAUUGCACAAUGGGCGCAAGCCUGAUGCAGCCAUGCCGCGUGUAUGAAGAAGGCCUUCGGGUUGUAAAGUACUUUCAGCAGUGAGGAAGGUGGAUAUGUUAAUAGCAUAUUCAUUUGACGUUAGCUGCAGAAGAAGCACCGGCUAACUCCGUGCCAGCAGCCGCGGUAAUACGGAGGGUGCGAGCGUUAAUCGGAAUUACUGGGCGUAAAGCGCAUGCAGGUGGUUUGUUAAGUCAGAUGUGAAAGCCCGGGGCUCAACCUCGGAAUUGCAUUUGAAACUGGCAAACUAGAGUACUGUAGAGGGGGUAGAAUUUCAGGUGUAGCGGUGAAAUGCGUAGAGAUCUGAAGGAAUACCGGUGGCGAAGGCGGCCCCCUGGACAGAUACUGACACUCAGAUGCGAAAGCGUGGGGAGCAAACAGGAUUAGAUACCCUGGUAG